rnacentral:rRNA from 1 species
CAACCUUUCCUCCUCGCUGAAAGUGCUUUACAACCCGAAGGCCUUCUUCACACACGCGGCAUGGCUGCAUCAGGGUUUCCCCCAUUGUGCAAUAUUCCCCACUGCUGCCUCCCGUAGGAGUCUGGACCGUGUCUCAGUUCCAGUGUGGCUGAUCAUCCUCUCAGACCAGCUAGGGAUCGUCGCCUUGGUGAGCCAUUACCUCACCAACUAGCUAAUCCCACCUGGGCAUAUCCAAUCGCGCAAGGCCCGAAGGUCCCCUGCUUUCCCCCGUAGGGCGUAUGCGGUAUUAGCAGUCGUUUCCAACUGUUAUCCCCCUCGACUGGGCAAUUUCCCAGGCAUUACUCACCCGUCCGCCGCUCGCCGGCAAAAGUAGCAAGCUACUUUCCCGCUGCCGCUCGACUUGCAUGUGUUAGGCCUGC